AUUGGGACAACUCGGGGAAACUCGAGCUAAUACCGAAUAAUCUCUGAGGAGAAAAGGUUGCCUCUGUAUACAAGCAACCGCUUUAUGUUGAACCUACGUCGGAUUAGCUAGUUGGUGGGGUAAAGGCUCACCAAGGCGACGAUCCGUAGCUGGUCUGAGAGGAUGAUCAGCCACACUGGGACUGGGACACGGCCCAGACUCCUACGGGAGGCAGCAGUGGGGAAUAUUGGACAAUGGGGGCAACCCUGAUCCAGCGAUGCCGCGUGUGUGAAGAAGGCCUGCGGGUUGUAAAGCACUUUAGUUGGGGAGGAAAGGCUCAUUGCGAAUAGUGAUGAGAGUUGACGUUACCCAAAGAAUAAGCACCGGCUAACUCUGUGCCAGCAGCCGCGGUAAUACAGAGGGUGCAAGCGUUAAUCGGAAUUACUGGGCGUAAAGGGCGCGUAGGUGGUUAAUUUAGUCAGCUGUGAAAGGCCAGGGCUUAACCUUGGAACUGCAUUUGAUACUGGUUGACUCGAGUCGAGUAGAGGGGAGCGG
rnacentral:rRNA from 1 species